rnacentral:rRNA from 1 species
ACCUCAAAUCAGGUAGGACUACCCGCUGAACUUAAGCAUAUCAA